UUCAGGCUUUGUUUUUUCUGCUGAGACAGGCAUAGAGGCUGGAGCUCACAGUCUGACAUUCUCCCCUGUGCUGUGGAGCCAGGCAGAUAAUAUUAUGUGUGGGUUAUGCCCAGUUUCCCAUCCUCCCACCUCAUAUUCUGGAGAAGUAAUGACAUCUCUUUUCCUCCUGCUCAAGAAGGCAUUCUGUAGGGUUAUUUCUGGACACAGUAAUCCUUCAGCAAUACAAUUACCAAGUUAUUCAACAUGGAAGGCUUUGCCAAGACAGUGGUGGCUGGGAUUUGACCCUCUAAGUGUGAGGGUCAUCCAUUCCUUUAUUAGCAAAUAUUCAUGAAUGCCCACUAUGUGCAACACACGGUGCUUGGUGCAAGCAUACAGUGAUGAAUCAAGUAGAGAAGGCCCUGCCCUUAUGGAGCUUACAGCCUGGCUGUGUAAACAUCUUGGGAAUAGAGCAGUUGACUGGACAUCUCUCAUGUGCAGCAGCAGCAGGAAAAAGAACUUUGGACUUUAUCUGGUUUGCCUUUGAUUCUCAGUUCUCUCAGUUACUUGCUAAGCAAAUGACAUCUCCUUUCUCUGUUUCAUAUCCCUCAUCUGUUAAACAGGGAUCAUAAUACCUAACGUCGUGGGCUUCCAAGACAAAUCCUAGGGGAGGAAUUCUGCAAUGCACCCAGUACUUGCCAAGUAUUGUGUCUGGUAUUUAGCACAAAAGGAAUUUUAGUUUCCUCUACCUCUCACUUUGGGAGCUCAGAUAAAUUAGUAGCUGUAUUUUCCUAGACAAAAGAUUCUAUUUGUUUAUGUGUCCUACACUGCAUUAGGCUAAGCUAUGGCAAGAAAGAGAAAAAAAAAACUUAAGUGGAUUAAUACAUUUAAAAUGUACUUCUUGCACAUGUAAUACUUCUAGGUGGGUGUUGUCAGGGUCACUCCUCCCCAUGCUGGUGGUAGCUUGAUAUAUUUACUCUGUGGCUUCCAAGAUUACCCAAGGUGUUGACAUCUCAGUGGACUAGAAGAGAGAAUGAGCAUGGAGGCGCAUUUGGGGAGAGUGAGGAGGGCUGAACCUGGAGAUGGGAUCAUUAUUCAUGCUUCACACUGACUCCCAGAGAACUGAGUUAUGUGGUCACAACUCAUAUAAGGGAAACCGGGAGAUCUCAUCUUGCUGUAUUUUUGCAAAUAAAAAUUAAAACCUUAGUUUCCCAUAAAGAGGCAGCGUAAACAUCCGGCAGGGAAGAAUGGAAUUUUGGGGACAGUUAGCAGUCUUGAUUAUUAAUUAAGAGCAAAUAGUUCUUCCCUUGUAGCGUUCAUCACCAUCCCUCAAAAACACAAGUAAUAGAAAAAGCUGAGAUAGAGUUACCCUGGGAGAAUCCAAGAAUAACUUUGGUAAGGUAAGUGUAUAUAAAUUGAAAGAAAACACUCGACUGCUAUUCUAAUCAUUCUUGUAAUCAACAUUUAUUUAAUUUUUAUUAGGCAUCACUUGGUGGGGAUACAAAGAUGGAAAGAGGAAGGCAAUGUAUGUAUGCUAGGAGGAUCAGAAGACAACCAUAGUUAGCUAAGAGGUCAUGAUUUAGCAACAAAUGAAA